rnacentral:rRNA from 1 species
GACGAACGCUGGCGGCGUGCCUAAUACAUGCAAGUAGAACGCUGAAGAGAGGAGCUUGCUCUUCUUGGCUGAGUUGCGAACGGGUGAGUAACGCGUAGGUAACCUGCCUUGUAGCGGGGGAUAACGAUUGGAAACGAUAGCUAAUACCGCAUAACAAUGGAUGACACAUGUCAUUUAUUUGAAAGGGGCAAUUGCUCCACUACAAGAUGGACCUGCGUUGUAUUAGCUAGUAGGUGAGGUAAUGGCUCACCUAGGCGACGAUACAUAGCCGACCUGAGAGGGUGAUCGGCCACACUGGGACUGAGACACGGCCCAGACUCCUACGGGAGGCAGCAGUAGGGAACCUUCGGCAAUGGGGGCAACCCUGACCGAGCAACGCCGCGUGAGCGAAGAAGGUUUUCGGAUCGUAAAGCUCUGUUGUAAGUCAAGAACGGGUGUGAGAGUGGAAAGUUCACACUGUGACGUUAGCUUACCAGAAAGGGACGGCUAACUACGUG